ACCGGCGCACGGGUGCGUAACGCGUAUACAAUCUACCUUUUACAGAGGGAUAGCCCAGAGAAAUUUGGAUUAAUACCUCAUAGUAUUAUAAAUUGGCAUCAAUUAAUAAUUAAAGUUUCGGCGGUAAAAGAUGAGUAUGCGUUCUAUUAGCUAGUAGGUAAGGUAACGGCUUACCUAGGCAACGAUAGAUAGGGGUCCUGAGAGGGAGAUCCCCCACACUGGUACUGAGACACGGACCAG
rnacentral:rRNA from 1 species